rnacentral:rRNA from 1 species
UACGUAGGGGACCAGCGUUGUCCGGAUUUACUGGGCGUAAAGGGCUCGUAGGUGGCCAACUAAGUCAGAUGUGAAAUCCCUCGGCUUAACCGAGGAACUGCGUCUGAUACUGGAUGGCUUGAGUUUGGGAGAGGGAUGCGGAAUUCCUGGUGUAGCGGUGAAAUGCGCAGAUAUCAGGAGGAACACCAGUGGCGAAGGCGGUGCUCUGGGCCGGAACUGACGCUGAGGAGCGAAAGCGUGGGGAGCAAACAGG